rnacentral:lncRNA from 1 species
AUGGGACUCAUCCAGGAUGAGUUGGAUGACACGGCACAGGUUUGGAACACACACACUAUCAGGCCAUCGAAAAAUCCUAACAUCCCCAGCGGUCGGCCGAACGUGAUGUUUGCAGUACCUGAACUCUAUGGGACAAGAGACUUCCUUUCCCUAAUUGAAGAUGGUGAAUUUCAACUGUGCAAAAACGAAUGCAUCUUUCGCCAGACCAAACCGUGUGAUCCAGAUCUGUAUGAACUAUGCAACAUCUUUUUGGCUGAGUCCAAUCUCACCCUAGCAACAGAUCCAUAUCAGGCAGUGAACUUGUACAUGCACCUCAGAGAGGCCAUCAGGGCAUGUGUGUAGGUCAGACGUAUUUUGUGGUCACAUAUGUAAAUAAUUCACCUUGCUGUUCUUUUCCUUUUAUAAGUUUCUGGUCACAUAUGUAAAUAAUUCACCUUGCUGUUCUUUUCCUUUUAUAAGUUUCCUUUAAAGGUCCCAUGACAUGAAAAUCUCACUUUAUGAGGUUUUCUAACAUAAAUAUGAGUUCCCCUAGCCUGCCUAUGGUCCCCCAGUGGCUAAAACUUGCAUUUGGUGUAAAACGAGCACUAGCUGUUCUGCUCGCCUUUGAAAAAACGAGGCUCAAGCGCGCUGAUUUGGAAUGUCUUUAUUUAUGUCGUCAUAAAGCAUCUAAGCUCCUCCCCUUACUCUGCCUGGCCCGCUCAGAGACGUUGGCCCGCCAAUGAGACACAACCGUGCGAGCGCCACAUGUGUGUGAAUACACACACUGUAACGCAAGUGUUUCUUGUCGGUGCUUUGACGUCUCUUGUAUUUCCACAACGAGACUGUCAUGGGGGUUAUCUGAGCCAUGGUUGAGAAGGACUUGAUAGAAUAUCAUUGGAUUUCAAAUGAUGGGACCAAAAAAUGGAUGUAUCUAUCUUACUCUGAACUUCUGAUGGCCAAUCAGUACAAAUAUUGACAUGUUACCGACAGAAAAGCAUUUUGAAAUUAUCUGUGCAUUUACAACCUAUAGUUUCAAAUACUGAGAGAGGGGUUAAAAACGACAAUACACGCUAUUCAUGUUUUGUUGAGACUGGAAUUUUUUCUAUUACUGUAACUAUAUUGCUAUCCCCUAUUUAAUCCUGGUGUGGAACUCUGAAUAAACAAAAAAUUGCCAAA